rnacentral:rRNA from 1 species
CCUACGGGCGGCAGCAGUGAGGAAUAUUGGUCAAUGGGCGGGAGCCUGAACCAGCCAAGUCGCGUGAGGGAAGACGGUCCUAUGGAUUGUAAACCUCUUUAGUCGGGGAGCAAUGCCGCGUAUGCGUGCCCGGAGGGAGAGUACCCGCAGAAUAAGCAUCGGCUAACUCCGUGCCAGCAGCCGCGGUAAUACGGAGGAUGCGAGCGUUAUCCGGAUUUAUGGGGUUUAACGGGUGCGUAGGCGGAUAUUUAAGUCAGCGGUAAAAUGUCCGGGCUCAACCGCGGCGGGCCGUUGAAACUGGGGAUCUUGAGUGGGCGAGAGGUAUGCGGAAUGCGUGGUGUAGCGGUGAAAUGCAUAGAUAUCACGCAGAACUCCGAUUGCGAAGGCAGCAUACCGGCGCCCGACUGACGCUGAGGCACGAAAGCGUGGGGAUCGAACAGGAUUAGAUACCCUUGUAGUC